rnacentral:rRNA from 1 species
GUGAACGCUGGCGGUAGGCCUAACACAUGCAAGUCGCACGGCAGCACAGUAAGAGCUUGCUCUUACGGGUGGCGAGUGGCGGACGAGUGAGGAAUACAUCGGAAUCUACUUUUUCGUGGGGGAUAACGUAGGGAAACUUACGCUAAUACCGCAUACGACCUACGGGUGAAAGCAGGGGAUCUUCGGACCUUGCGCGAUUGAAUGAGCCGAUGUCGGAUUAGCUAGUUGGCGGGGUAAAGGCCCACCAAGGCGACGAUCCGUAGCUGGUCUGAGAGGAUGAUCAGCCACACUGGAACUGAGACACGGUCCAGACUCCUACGGGAGGCAGCAGUGGGGAAUAUUGGACAAUGGGCGCAAGCCUGAUCCAGCCAUACCGCGUGGGUGAAGAAGGCCUUCGGGUUGUAAAGCCCUUUUGUUGGGAAAGAAAAGCAGCAGGUUAAUACCCCGCUGUUCUGACGGUACCCAAAGAAUAAGCACCGGCUAACUUCGUG